rnacentral:lncRNA from 1 species
GGGUAUACCCACACACGUGUGCAUAUACCACAUACACCUCCCCCACUCAAACACGUCCAUACCCACACACGUGUGCAUAUACCACAUACCCACACACGUGUGCAUAUACCACAUACACCUCCCCCCACUCAAACACAUCCAUACAUAUGUGGUAACUAAAUAAUUAAGUGUAAAAACAAUUAAAGCUAAAAAUUAGGCCAGGCGAUGGCAGGGCACGAUUUCCUUUGAUCCUAACACUGGAGAGGCAGAGGCAGGUGGAUCUCUGUAAGUUCGAGGCCAGCCUGGU